UGAUGAUGAUGAUGAUGAUGAUUAUGACGAUGAUGAUGAUGAUGAUGAUGAUGAUAUUCUGUUCAUAUGUUGUAUUAUGGAAUUUCAUCAUCAUCAUCGUCGUCAUUGUCAUUGUUGUCCCCA
rnacentral:pre_miRNA from 1 species